AUGGAGUUCAUCGGCGUUGGGCUUGGCAUGCUCUUCAAUUCCAUCUUGCCGCAGCUUAAGCAAAAGAUGAAGGAAUCAAAGCUAAAGAAGAUUGCCAUCAAUAGUGACAUUGAGGAUUUCAGGAGGGAGGCCGAAUUGCUGCAAUCUCGACUUGAAGAUGGCUACUCCCGGCAUGAAGGUGCCCACAAAGCCAAGCUGCUGGUGAUCAAUGGGAAUCUCAAAGUCUUGUGUCAAGAUACGAACGACUGCAUCCACCGGUUCCUGCGAAGGGGAUCUAUGGAGAGCUGCACGGACUUCGCAAAGAAGAUCAAAAGAUUCAAAGAAAAAGUCUACAAACUAAGCAAGCACACCAGAGAACUCAUGGAUUCGUUCAAAGAGCAGCACCUUGAACGCCCUUGUCAGUAUGUUACUUCCAGCGAGUUCGUGGGCAGGCAUGAACGCCUUGCUGAGCUGCAGGAGCUUGUACAUGAUCUACCCAGCUGCAAGCAGGAGGAGCCCAAGGUGAUCUCAAUCGUUGGCUUUGCUGGCCUAGGCAAGACCCUUCUUGCCAACGAAUUCUAUAAUAGCAAGGAAGCCCUCGCGAAAUUCCAUCACCGGGCCUGGGUUACUGACGCUGGCAGCCAUGAGGAGGUUGUCAAGAACAUACUCAUGGAAAUUGACAAAGGAGGCAACCAUGCUGAGGAUGCCCUGGACCUCCAGCGCCUCUGCCACAGCCUGCGGAAUUUCCUAAAAACGGCCACUGAGUACUUAAUUGUAAUCGAUGACAUGAAGAGGUGGAAGAUGUGGAACGAUAUAAAAUAUACCUUCAAGAAUGUGAAAGGCAUAGUCCUUGUGACGACAACCAUUCAGGAAGUAGCUAACACUUGCAGCCAAGGCACUAAUGGUUAUGUGUACAGGUUGUCACCCCUUGAUAAGGAGGAGUCUUUAAAGCUGUUCACAAUAGAAUGUGGUCAUAAAGGGGAUCCCGGUCAUGCAGAUUCUCAUUAUGCAAAAGAAGUAUUGAAGAAAUGUGAUGGUCUACCACUUGCUAUAGUCGAUGUGGCCAAUUAUUUGCAGAGUCAGGGAGUGUUGACAAGUAGUCGAUGUAAUGAUGCUUGCAGAGAUCUUGGUGCCUUUCUGGUACAAGUGGAUGACUGCAAGUUGGAACGAAUGCAAUCGGUGCUUAUGAAUAUAUACACCGGUCUGCCUGGUGCUCUCAGAUCCUGCUUGCUAUAUUUUUGCAUGUACAAGAAAAACAUAGCUGCAGUCCCCAAGAGGAAUUCUCUGAUGUGGCGAUGGCAAGCCGAAGGAUUUGUUGAUGUAAAAACUGGAUGUGAAUAUUUGAAUACCCUCAUCAACCACAAUAUCAUUCAGCCCAUGGAAGUAGGCACAAAUGGAGCUGCAAGGAGAUGCCGUCCUCCUGGAAUGGUGACCGAGUACAUUUCCCAGAUUUCCAAGUCCGAGAAUUUCGCUGCUUCGGGGUCUGAUCUAGUAGAAACGCCAAACAGUCGCAUCCGACGGCUUUCUUUGGACCCUGGCAGUGCUAAAGAUGAAAGAAUAAUUUCGGGCAUGGAAUUAAGUAUAGUGCUGACCAUGGCAGUUUCAGGAGAAGGAUGCAAAGAAAUUCUUGAUUUCAAAAGGUAUGAGCUAAUUGCAGUUUUGGAUCUGAAAGAAUGUACAAACCUGGACGAAAGUCAUGUCAUACAUAUAUGCAACCUGGUGCUCCUGAAAUACCUCAGCCUCGGGGACAGUAUAGAUGAGAUACCCAAGGCAAUAGCGAACCUGGUACUGUUAGAGACACUGCAGAUGAGGAGGACAAGAGAAACAGUAUUGGUGCAUAGACAAGUCUUGGAGCUACCCAACUUAAAACAUCUCCUUGGAAACUUCAAGCUUAAAACAAAGCCAGAUAAAGAGCUAUGUGAUUUCUUGGAGAAAAAGAGUGUCCUAGAGAUGAUUACAGGUUUUGUGACAGAAACUAGCAAAGGAUUUCCGAAUCUGAUGUGCCAUAUGAUGCAGUUGAGGAAGGUGAAAAUAGUUUGCGAUGCCAGUGUCGACCAAGAAAAUGUCAGAGACAAGAAGGGCAAGCAAACAGAUGACAAUGACAAGGAUCUUGCAAGGGCGAUCAAGGAAUUCAUUCAUAGAGGCUCAGAUACCCUCGGCUGUUCCCUAUCAAUGGACUUCGGGAAUGACGCCGGGCCUGUUAGGAUGGCACCACCCCUGGAAUUCCUAAAAUGUUCCGGCAGUCUUGACUCUCUCAAAUUGCGCGGCGGCUGGGGAACAUUCCAUCUGCCUCCUGAACCGUUUACAACAAUAACUGGUAUUACGAAGCUGUGCCUUUCACACACUUGCAAGAGCGGGGAAGAUAUCCUUGCCACUUUGACUGAUAUGAUUACACUGGAAUAUCUGAAGCUGGAAGAAGUAAAUCUGGGGCCCCUAAGGAUAGAAUCAGGAACUUUCCGAAGACUGAUGAGGUUAUGCCUCAUGGGCGAGACAAGCAGCAAGCAAGGCGAGGGUAUUACAAUCCAACAUAAAGCUCUGUCCAGUCUUGUCUCACUUCAUCUCAUCUCUAAAGCUCCCAUCUUUAUAGUUGAAAAGCCUCCCAACGGGCCAGAGCCUCAGGUUAGAGACCAGAUCACUGUAGUUGAUGCCCACAUCUCUAAAGGUAAUAAAAGUAAAGGCAAGGAAGUCCAGUUUCCGAUUGGGGCAGAGCCUCACGUUGGAGACCAGAUCUCUCAAUCUGAAGAUAAACAAGUCAAGCUUCACAUGGGAUGCCUCGGAUGCCUCGAGGAAAUCGCACUCGACUCUGGAGUCACACCAACCAUGCACGAUGCCUGGAAAAGAGCUGCAAAGGGGCAUCCUAACAGGCCUGGCGUUCUGUUGAUUCACAAGGCCGCUCGUAUUCCUCCCAGUUCCAAUGCAUAA
rnacentral:rRNA from 1 species